CGUGGGUGUAGCGCAGCUCGGUUAGCGCACUGGUCAAGAACCAGAGGUCGUUGGUUCAAAUCCAACCACCCCGA
rnacentral:tRNA from 1 species